UGUAGCAGCUGUUUUACCACCUUGUAACUUGAUCCCUUCAGGUCCUUAAGCUAAGCAAGGCUGGGACAGGUCAGUAAUGGGAUGGAGACUUUCAAGUUAAAACAGGUUGCUGCCAUAA
rnacentral:rRNA from 1 species